UACGGGGGGGGCAAGCGUUGUUCGGAAUUACUGGGCGUAAAGGGUCCGUAGGUGGCUCGCUAAGUCAGACGUGAAAUCCCUCGGCUUAACCGGGGAACUGCGUCUGAGACUGAUGAGCUUGAGUGCAGGAGAGGAACGCGGAAUUCCGGGUGUAGCGGUGAAAUGCGUAGAUAUCCGGAGGAACACCGGUGGCGAAGGCGGCUUCCUGGACCGACACUGACGCUGAGGCGCGAAAGCUAGGGGAGCAAACGGG
rnacentral:rRNA from 1 species